rnacentral:lncRNA from 1 species
AAUUUUUCGUUUUCGCAACUCCUUCGGCACUCCAUAUAUUUGUUCGAAAUAUACCGCGACCGAAACGAAGCGCGACCGAAACAAAGCGCGACCGAAACGAAGCGCGACCGAAAUGAUCGGCUACCCCUAGGAUAGCCCUUCUUUGCCUAUCUAGGCUAGGCCAUCUUUGGCUAGGCCUAUACUGUAGGGAGGGUUAGGGUGGUACUAAAAUAAUACUAAUAGACUAAGGCCUAUUUGCCAUGUUUGGCCUAUUUUAGCCUAGUAGUCGGUGGGUGUGUACCCAGGGGAAUUCCAUUUUAACCAAAUAAAAAAAUAAUAUCCUUUUAAAUCUGACAUCAGCGUGCCCUAUUUAAAGUUGUAUGGAUGGAAAACCAAAUGGAAUAUUUUAACAUUGCAUGCAUAAUUUAAAGCGUAUCUUUGAUAUUUUUUUUCUGAAAGUAUUUGUAGACUAGAAGUCAACUGAGCCAUUAAAAUCAUACCCUGGGCUUCUAUUUGGGGAAAUAGAACCUGUCUGAGUUAUGAUAAUUGGGCCUAGUCCUUCUAUUAUGUUCUAUAAAAUCAUUAGUUUAAUAAAAGAAAAUGCAUUUCUGUUAUUUUCAGUUGUACUUGUGGAAACUGCAUCGUGGAAGAGAUGUGGGGAAAUCGUUCCUGUUGUCAAGAAAUUGAAAAGGUUAUGCAAAAAAACAAUGAAGAGCCAUACCACAAUGGGUGCAUUACCACACAUCCUUGGUUUGAACCAGCCAUCUUAAAUCCUGUAACACUAUAAAUUGCAUAUUGGCAGUAUGUUUCACAAUACCAGGAGCCUGUGACCGAAGGGGGAGUCGAAAGGCGUUACAGGUACACAGCCUAUCGGCAAUUUGUACGUUGGUGCUGGGGUUAUCUUGGCAAAGACAGGCGAGUGCUGAUGUCGUGUAAUGAAGUCCAUACAUGAGGCAUUUCCUGAACCCAGUGCCAACUACACAGAGUUUAAAUAUCCUCCCCAGACAGGUGAAUUUUAGCUUCUCCUUUGACCAGAGGCUCCUCAUGCUGUAACUAUGUUAAUGUAUUGCCAGUAUGAAUUACUAUGUCUGUGUUAAAUUAAUUUUAUCUAUUAAAAUUGUAUAUUUUAACAAUAAUUUAUUUUUGGUUAAUUACAAUGCAAUUCAACUAUAUAAUAUAGAAUGCCCUGAAAUUGAGGUGUUUUUUGUUCAUAAAUAGGCCUAUACAAUCUGCGUAUCAUUCACUAUUGUUAUAAAAUAGACUAUGAAAAGCAUAAUUCCAAUAGCUUAUGAAUUACAGAGCAAACAAUACAGUGUAAGAUGUAAAAUUGUAUGAUUCAAUUUUCCUGACGAUACUAGGCACCUAUUUAUUAACAAAAUUAAGGCAUUACACUAUAUCAGGUUUUGUGUGCUUCGUAAUAGCAUAUUUAUUUUAGUAAUACAGUAUGUCCAACAACCUUAAAAACAAUAUGCAUGUCUUUUUUUUUAAAUGUAAGUAGUAUUACUACUGUACUAUAUACUGUAUAAUUGCAAUUCAAUUAAAAUCAUUUACAAUUUGAUUAAUGAAAUACUUGUUUGAUUACUGUUGCGGUAUUCAUGUUACAAGAGACUCUUAUGAUAUUAUUUAACACUGACGAACUCUUAUUAUUUUUUCACAAAAUGGGACAACCUUUGCUAAGUACAGUACUGAAACAAAGUGAAGACUUACCACUAAUUUACAGUUAGAUUAUGAUUGCAGUAUUCAUGCUAAAGCAUGCUUUAGUAUCAUUAAAUGUAAAGAUUAGUACAUGUAAUAAUAAAUAUAAUUGUUAUGCAAUUUAACUUGUUUAAAAAAUGAUUAAUGGUAAUUGCUUGUUUAUUGCACUAACAGUAUUAUCAUUUCAAAAAACCCUUAUAUAUGAAUUAUCUUAGUAAAUAACAUAAUUGGUUAUAUAAAAUUAUUUUCCAUGAUUUUUUUCUACACAAAUUCAACACAUCAGAAUGCAAUUUAGUCACCAGAAACUAUCUUUUGUUCUCUUUUCUAAAAAGAUAUAGAAACAUUUAAUAAGUGGGUAGAAUUUGUUAAUACAACAUGGGAAGAUGUAGUUUGGAAACAUAUCACAAGACAUGUAGUAGGUAUUUUACUAUGCAAGUUAACAAGAACUACCUCAUAAGAAAUGUUUAAAGUACAAUCAGGAACAAACCAAAAGCUUUUCCAAAUAUUGAAGCCCAGGUUGAGGAUAAAGGCCUGUUUAUACUUCAACGAUAACGAUCUUAUAACGUUUAUAGCACAGUAAUAUACUGCUGUAGAAUAACAAUUUUCUGUAAAUGGAAAUAGAGCAAUGCUGGAAUCAGCAAAAAAUAAUAACAGUGAGCCUAGGCAUAAUUUGAAUGGCUCUUAUAAAAAAAAGUGUAACAUGGUCAUGUUACUGUAUGGCUUAGACUGGGUUCCAGUCCCUAAUCUUUGUCUUAAUCAGUUGAAAUGCUUAAGAAUAAAUCGAUUUU